rnacentral:rRNA from 1 species
AACGAACGCUGGCGGCAUGCCUAACACAUGCCAGUCGAACGAGACCUUCGGGUCUAGUGGCGCACGGGUGCGUAACGCGUGGGAACCUGCCCUUAGGUUCGGAAUAACUCCCCGAAAGGGGUGCUAAUACCGGAUAAUGUCUUCGGACCAAAGAUUUAUCGCCUUUGGAUGGGCCCGCGUUGGAUUAGCUAGUUGGUAGGGUAAAAGCCUACCAAGGCGACGAUCCAUAGCUGGUCUGAGAGGAUGAUCAGCCACACUGGGACUGAGACACGGCCCAGACUCCUACGGGAGGCAGCAGUGGGGAAUAUUGGACAAUGGGCGAAAGCCUGAUCCAGCAAUGCCGCGGGAGUGAUGAAGGCCUUAGGGUUGUAAAGCUCUUUUACCCGGGAUGAUAAUGACGGUACCGGGAGAAUAAGCGCCGGCUAACUCCGUG